UGCUCUGAAUGAAGAAAUCUUGCCAAAAUAUCUGGAUCUGGUUUGGGCUGAGAAUGCAAGCAUCAGAUAAAAAUAACAAGUCACACGGUAGAGGACAGAUCGCAAUGCUUCUCCUUUGCCUCAGGCUGCACAUGCCCAGUAACUCCAUUGAAGCAACCAACUUUUUGGAUGCAAAAUCCUGGACAUAAUCCCAGACACCACCCAGACCUUCAGAACUCCAUGCUGAAAGCCUGUAACCAUUGGAAGAACAAGAUGUGGCAGGUGAAAUCACAGAC